CAAAUGUAGCUGCAAGGAUCAAACGUGGAUGACUCAUUUGACGUGAAAACGGAGCUAGGAAGCUUGAAAACAGGGACAGUCUGAGACAGUGAGACGUCCCGCGCGUGGGUCUGUGGCAACGUAGGAGGAAUCGCAGGACCAAAGACCCUGAAGCGACUUGAGCUCGGUUCAGAGAGUUAAGCGAAAUUCACCUCAGCCCAGGACGCUGCGCAUUUGGACUGGAUGCGGUCUCGAAAAAGCCCGGAGAGACUCCGCUGCCCUUAUCCAAUAGGUGUGGAAGAACGACCGCGACGCAUCUACGGACGUAAAUGUUGGAGCAGCCCACGCUGUGGGGAUUUUUCCGGGGAACCUCAGAAACGGAUGCUGUUCCCGAGGCUGUUUCUAAGUAGGAGUAGAUUAUUUCCCCCCAAAGACUAUGAACAGCUCCUUUGUCCAAAUCCGAGACACAGAAAUGCAUAGCUUCCCUCAAAGAGGACGUUAGAACCUCAUUUAUUUAGAGAGUCCCGAAGCCCUCGAGUAUCAGAGAAGUAAAGAUGAAAAGAUACCUUUAGGAUAUGUUCUGGGUGGCUAAACAGGUAGGCAGAAGAUAAAGAGAGUGGUUUUCUUCUGGAAGCUGUUUUGCUUCAGAAUUUACCGUCUUCUUGCUAAAAGUAUACAUAAUUGUUAACAGAAUUAAAAGACAAACUUUUGCCCAUAUAGAUGCGCCAUUUGAUCAAUAAAACCGAACACUAACUUCCUUUGGGAAGGAAAGAUAAAUCAAAGUGCUACCGCUGAUAUCUCAAUCAAGAUUUAAGAAAAAUUUCUCCCUCCCUAAGAUAGUUCAGUGUUGUUUUUCUUUUCUAACAUGAGUUCAGUUGAACAAAAGAUGUUAAGAUUGUAACGAAAACUCUGCAUGAUGUAAAUGUUCAAAGAAAGAAAUUCUAGAUUGAUUAUAUUCUGGGACCGCAAUUAUUACUAGAUAUCACUAAAACAGGAAUCAGAG
ensembl:lncRNA